rnacentral:rRNA from 1 species
UAGAGGAAGUAAAAGUCGUAACAAGGUUUCCGUAGGUGAACCUGCGGAAGGAUCAUUAUUGAAUGAAAAAGAGAGUCAAGGUUGUUGCUGGCCGAGAUAAUUGAUUGGCAUGUGCACAUCUUGCUCUUAAUCUCUUUCACACCUGUGCACCUGUUGUAGGUCCUCGAAAAGAGAGAUCUAUGAAUUCUUGCCACGCGCAUAUAUUGCAUGUCGAUAGAAUGUCAUAAAUGAAAAUACAACUUUCAGCAACGGAUCUCUUGGCUCUCGCAUCGAUGAAGAACGCAGCGAAUUGCGAUAAGUAAUGUGAAUUGCAGAUUUUCAGUGAAUCAUCGAAUCUUUGAACGCACCUUGCGCUCCUUGGUAUUCUGAGGAGCAUGCCUGUUUGAGUGUCAUUUGAAUUCUCUCAACCAUGUCUUGAUUUUCAAGAUAAAUGGCUUGGAUUUGAGAGUUGCUGGCGUUUAUCAUCCAGCUCUCUUGAAAUAUAUUAGCGAUGGACGCAGGGUCCUUGCGACGUCAUAAUGAUCGUGGGCUUGGGCCUUGCAUCAGUUCGCUUCCUAAUCAUGUUAUACAAACUCUGUUUUGUAUAAUUCAAACCCUCGACCUCAAAUCAGGUAGGACUACCCGCUGAACUUAAGCAUAUCAAUA